AGGAGACGCGUAGCCGCCGUCGCCGCCGCCGGGGGAUGUGGCCGGCGCCUGCCUCUAGCCGCGCCGCCUCUUGAGUACCAGCCGCCGCUGCAGCCGCCGCCGCCGCCUAGCCGUGCGGUGCCAGGCCGCGCCCUCCCCGGGCGCCCGCCGGCUCGCAUGCCGAGGGGCUCCGGGGCGUAGCUGCGCGCCCGGCGCCGCCUCCGGGCUCCUUCGGCCCCGCCAUGGGCUGCUGCAGCUCCGCCUCCUCCGCCGCGCAGAUUAAGUAAUGCUGGGAGGAAUAAAGAAGGGACAGAAACAUGGAACAUAAAGCAUUGAAAAUUCCGGUGCUUGGGCUUCGGCUUCAGAGUAACGUCAGUGGCUUAGGGUUAAACGGCCAUUUUAUUCAAAUGCUUGCUAUACAAUCUGAAAACACACUGGCAGGUGCUCCUCUCCUUGGCAAUUCAUUGAGUAUCCAGAGUUCUACGAUGUUUAACUGAAGAAUUGGCUAAUGUUUUGAUCCUCCAGUGUGACUGUUGUUUUUGUUUGGGGGUGGGUUUGGGGUUUUUUGCUUUUUUAUUCCUGAAGCUUACCAGAUAUGAAUGGCUAAUACUCCAUUGUUCUGCUUGUUGUAAUGGUGAAUGCUUUAAGAAAAAAAAGUGUAAUUUGCUAAGAAUAAUUCAUGAUCUGUUUAUGCGAUAACUCCUUUUUGUUACAAUUUUUUUAAAAAAAGCUAUUUUUGUUAAUGUAAAGUAAAUAUUUCAGAGCAAAUUUUUUAAACUUAUUGCACUAAAUACAGGCUCUGUACAAAAAAAAAAAAAAAAAAAAAGCCUCAGCAUUUUAUCAUUCCAUGGAAGGAGAAUCUUUUGAAAGAAAGCAUUGCCUCCUACCAGAACUAGACAGUGAAUUAGAUCGGUAUUAUGGAAAUGCAUACAAGUAAUGUCACUAGGGCUUAAUAAGCAGCCGUUUGCUAAUGUGCUUCCUUUCAAAGGGUUGGACCUUUAAAUUGCUGCAAAAGGUAAAUUGUAUUUUUUUUUAAGUAUUGGUGUUCUUUACUCUAGCUAGGCUAAAAUUUGCUAAAUGCCUUGGUUUCUUUUAAAAGUUCAUGUAAUAUUUCUGAUUUUUCAGAAUAUUUGCAAUAAGAGUCUGGAUUUUAAAAAACACAUGCAUACACACAAUUAAGAGCUCAUGUCUUAGCAAGAUCUGGGAAACCAACAUUGCGAGAGUAGCUAUUUUGAAAGAAUAAUUCUCCAGAAGUUAACAUCUAAUAUCUAGUAUCACCAAACAGUAUCGCUGUUCUCUUUUAUUCAUUUGAAAUGAAUAUAAUUAUAUAACUAACAAUUGUCCAAAUAGAUGAGAGAGCAAAUCAUGUGAGAAAAUUCAGAAUACCAUCUGUUUCAUAGCCGCACAGAUUUUGGACUUUCACAAACAUUGGGAACUAAAUUUAGAAUUGGCAAAAGUCUAGAAGAUGGGUAUCAAAACAGAAGACAUUCCAGGAGCUAGCAAUUUUAAGAGGUGUCCCUCCAAAGUGACCUGAUGGAAGUCCUGAACUUGGAAAUUAGGUUCUACUCACUUGGACAUCCCUGCAUCAUGGACUGUUGCUGCUCCCUGUUCCAUAUGCUCGCAAUCUCAGCUAUUUGGAAGCUACCAGGAAUGCUUUCUAAUUAUCAUUUGCAACUAGAACUGUAAUCAGAAAGAAAUUUUGUAUUUUUGUAUAACUUGAUUGUGUGCCAUUUUAUAUAACAGGUCCUGUUUUACAAAUAAAUUUUGUUUUACU
rnacentral:lncRNA from 1 species